rnacentral:rRNA from 1 species
AGCCCAGAGCCUGAAUCAGUGUGUGUGUUAGUGGAAGCGUCUGGAAAGGCGCGCGAUACAGGGUGACAGCCCCGUACACAAAAAUGCACAUGCUGUGAGCUCGAUGAGUAGGGCGGGACACGUGGUAUCCUGUCUGAAUAUGGGGGGACCAUCCUCCAAGGCUAAAUACUCCUGACUGACCGAUAGUGAACCAGUACCGUGAGGGAAAGGCGAAAAGAACCCCGGCGAGGGGAGUGAAAAAGAACCUGAAACCGUGUACGUACAAGCAGUGGGAGCACGCUUAGGCGUGUGACUGCGUACCUUUUGUAUAAUGGGUCAGCGACUUAUAUUCUGUAGCAAGGUUAACCGAAUAGGGGAGCCGAAGGGAAACCGAGUCUUAACUGGGCGUUAAGUUGCAGGGUAUAGACCCGAAACCCGGUGAUCUAGCCAUGGGCAGGUUGAAGGUUGGGUAACACUAACUGGAGGACCGAACCGACUAAUGUUGAAAAAUUAGCGGAUGACUUGUGGCUGGGGGUGAAAGGCCAAUCAAACCGGGAGAUAGCUGGUUCUCCCCGAAAGCUAUUUAGGUAGCGCCUCGUGAAUUCAUCUCCGGGGGUAGAGCACUGUUUCGGCAAGGGGGUCAUCCCGACUUACCAACCCGAUGCAAACUACGAAUACCGGAGAAUGUUAUCACGGGAGACACACGGCGGGUGCUAACGUCCGUCGUGAAGAGGGAAACAACCCAGAC